GGUAGACCUCAGCUACGAGGUCUAUCAAACCUUUUCCCAGAGCUGAUGUGGAGCAAAAUUGGCUGGUUGAAAUUCCAUUUCCUUUUAUUGCUCCCAUAGAGAUGCUAAUGAAUAACAAACAAGGAGAGCAGAGGACCCAGGUAAUUAGUCAUUGUGGAUGUUCAGAGCUGGAAGGGACCUUUGAGGCUCCUCUGGUCCUGUUUUCUCUUUGCAGAGUUUGGGAAACUCAAGACUUGGAGAUGCUGGGUCCUAAUGGCUCAUGGUUGGCCACCAUGCAGUGCACAGAAUACCUCUACCAUGGCACUUGACAUGCACUUUCUGCUUUGUAGUCAACUGACCAUAGACUGAAUCCACUGAAACUGCGCUGGCUGAGUAAUACAUUGCCCUGAAACCCAUAAGCCAGGAGGCGAAAGAAGUUUCAAGGAAGUUAAGCCAGAAGUGUUGGAAAGCAUGCAGUUAUCGGCAUACAUUGAUGG
ensembl:lncRNA